CACAGAACUAAAAAAAAAAAAAAUAUCAUACCAGGGAUUCUUUGAAAAAUCAGAUUAAAGUUUCUGACACAGGGUGUGUGGGCUUGUUGCUUUAGUUCUCCACAGGAUGGUGGAACACUAGAGUCUGCCCGAGAGGAGAAACUUAGAAACCCCCUCCCGCCAGCCGCCCAUGAAAAAGCAAGAAGGGUGGGGUAGAGAAGGGGUAAGAGGGGGAUAGGGGGAAGAGAGAAGCAACGAGAGAAAAUGAGGGGAUGGGGGGAGCUAGUGGGGUGGCUGCCAUUAACCUGUGUGCAUAGUAUUACCAUACAGUAUGUCCUGUGUACAACUGCGAACGAAGGAUAGGCUUUUAGUAGAGGAAAAGCAGCAGCUCCACACGUUCCUGUCUGAAGGAUGGUCCAGAAACCCCAGACGUCUCGUCGCCUUCUCAUUUCCACCUCUGAGAGAACUAGAGAAGAUCAUUUCAUGUUGACGGACUUAGGGGGAAAUGUGCAAAUGUUUAUGGGAGCAGAAAAAUAAAAAGACAAAUGUGGAUUCAAGUGGAUGCAGAAAGAUGGUCCCUGGAAGGAGGAAGAGUCCUCAAGAAGAAUCAGAGAGGACCUCAGGCUAUGGACUCAAGAAAGGACUUCUAAUAAACAGGAGUUGGUGUCCAUGGCGCAAAGGGAAGUUGUAAUCUAACGACAACGAGCUGACAAAGCUAUGUAGGUUUUAGGAAUUUCGAAGGCGCUCGACCUCUUAGCAAGGGACAUAAAUGAAAAGGUAAUUUUUCAGAUUCUUCUCUGGUUAGUCCUAUGUUCAAAG
rnacentral:lncRNA from 1 species